AUUGAACGCUGGCGGCAGGCCUAACACAUGCAAGUCGAACGGUAACAGGGAUCAGCUUGCUGAUUCGCUGACGAGUGGCGGACGGGUGAGUAAUGUCUGGGAAACUGCCUGAUGGAGGGGGAUAACUACUGGAAACGGUAGCUAAUACCGCAUAACGUCGCAAGACCAAAGAGGGGGACCUUCGGGCCUCUUGCCAUCGGAUGUGCCCAGAUGGGAUUAGCUAGUAGGUGGGGUAACGGCUCACCUAGGCGAAGAUCCCUAGCUGGUCUGAGAGGAUGACCAGCCACACUGGAACUGAGACACGGUCCAGACUCCUACGGGAGGCAGCAGUGGGGAAUAUUGCACAAUGGGCGCAAGCCUGAUGCAGCCAUGCCGCGUGUAUGAAGAAGGCCUUCGGGUUGUAAAGUACUUUCAGCGGGGAGGAAGGGAGUAAAGUUAAUACCUUUGCUCAUUGACGUUACCCGCAGAAGAAGCACCGGCUAACUCCGUG
rnacentral:rRNA from 1 species